rnacentral:sRNA from 1 species
AGGGCGCAGUUGCCCUGCGACGCGAUGGC